rnacentral:rRNA from 1 species
AUCCUAGUCGGGAACUACUGGAACGGUGGCUAAUACCGGAUGUGCCGAAAGGUGAAAGGCUAGCUGCCUGAAGAUGAGCUCGCGUCUGAUUAGCUAGUUGGUGUGGUAAGAGCGCACCAAGGCGUCGAUCAGUAGCUGGUCUGAGAGGAUGAUCAGCCACACUGGGACUGAGACACGGCCCAGACUCCUACGGGAGGCAGCAGUGGGGAAUUUUCCGCAAUGGGCGAAAGCCUGACGGAGCAAUACCGCGUGAGGGAGGAAGGCUCUUGGGUUGUAAACCUCUUUUCUCAGGGAAUAAGAAAGUGAAGGUACCUGAGGAAUAAGCAUCGGCUAACUCCGUGCCAGCAGCCGCGGUAAUACGGAGGAUGCAAGCGUUAUCCGGAAUGAUUGGGCGUAAAGCGUCCGCAGGUGGCGAUGUAAGUCUGCUGUUAAAGAGCAAAGCUUAACUUUGUAAAAGCA